CUGCAUCUCGGAGCCUCUGGGGAGCAACAAGAAUUUCCAAGACGGUGUAGGAGCCCGUCUGAAGCCCCUCAUUUUCCGUUCUGCCUUCCGAUUGCCACGAGAAAGAAUCCCUUCCUCCACUGCAGUUCCGGCUUAGAACAGGACACAGUGCAGGUGCAACCACUGAACCGUCAUGCUAGCUGUUCCGAACAAGACCUGGCAAGAACUCGGCAAGGACGUGGCAAGGACUUGGCAAAGACCUGACGUGGACCCAGCACGGGACAGCCUGAUGCGCGGCCUGCUUCUAAUCUCCGUUCUUAAGCCAAAUGAACUUUUGGGGUGACUCCCGGGGUCCUUCAUUGAAGACCCCUCAUCUGCCUCGUUACCACUGUGACAAACAAAGAAUGAGAACCCUCCUCCCAAGGACUGAGACUGAGACCCCUGCUAUAGGGAGGAGGGGAAAUUGGUGGUCUGACCACUAAUGACAUGACCUGUUUCCCUUCAGUGAUUCAAAUGGACUUAUUCUUCAUUGUAUUCGUCUUGCUUUGGUGGUUUCUGUGGACUCAGCUGUUCCCGCGUGGCGAUUACAAUGGACUUUCGUUGUUACACUUGCUCCCCCCUCUUUCCUCUGUGGACUAUAACUGGAGCCCCGAGUCGACCAGAACUUCGGAGACUCCCCCGACACGACAGACGGAUCCCCAUCGUCCGGACCACUGAGGAUCUCGCCUGUGUUGAAGAACUCCGAGGGACAUGAAGACCACCUAAUCCAUGAUCAAACUGGCUUGGACAACCUGGCUGCGACAGUGGAACCCUCCUAAAAAACGGGUGCCAAGAGACAUUAACUGGUGUUGUGGGAACAGAAUUGGGAAUCAGUUCAGAGCUCCAGUUACCUUACAUGAACUUUUAGAAUCCAAUCUCAUGUUGAUUCACAAGCUACUGCCUACUCCCAUUGGGAUGAACCUUACUUUGGUAAAGCAACUAUUACUUCAUCAAGAUCUAAUAGAGAUCCUAGGAAAAAUCAAGGAGAAUGGACAGAAAACUCUGUCCUGAAGACUCCACGACGACACCAUGGAACCCUGCUGAUGAAGAUCUUUCGAGGGCAAUCGUCAGUCACGGGGUGGUGUAAGAGCCCGUCUGAAGCCCCUCAUUUUCCAUUCUGCCUUCCGAUUGCCACGAGAAAGAAUCCCUUCCUCCACUGCAGUUCCGGCUUAGAACAGGACACAGUGCAGGUGCAACCACUGAACCGUCAUGCUAGCUGUUCCGAACAAGGCCUGGCAAGAACUUGGCAAGGACUUGGCAAGGACUUGGCAAAGACCUGACGUGGACCCAGCACGGGACAGCCUGAUGCGCGGCCUGCUUCUAAUCUCCGUUCUUAAGCCAAAUGAACUUUUGGGGUGACUCCCGGGGUCCUUCAUUGAAGACCCCUCAUCUGCCUCGUUACCAGUGUGACAAACAAAGAAUGAGAACCCUCCUCCCAAGGACUGAGACUGAGACCCCUGCUAUAGGGAGGAGGGGAAAUUGGUGGUCUGACCACUAAUGACAUGACCUGUUUCCCUUCAGUGAUUCAAAUGGACUUAUUCUUCAUUGUAUUCGUCUUGCUUUGGUGGUUUCUGUGGACUCAGCUGUUCCCGCGUGGCGAUUACAAUGGACUUUCGUUGUUACACUUGCUCCCCCCUCUUUCCUCUGUGGACUAUAACUGGAGCCCCGAGUCGACCAGAACUUCGGAGACUCCCCCGACACGACAGACGGAUCCCCAUCGUCCGGACCACUGAGGAUCUCGCCUGUGUUGGUAGCUAUUCCCAUACCCCUCUUCUCUCUCUCUCUCUCCUUUUAUCUCCUUUCCGAUCCCCACUAUCGCAUUUACUGUUUUGGCCCCUAAUAAAGGUGCAUUUGUUGUGAUUAA